rnacentral:rRNA from 1 species
UACGGAGGGUGCAAGCGUUAUCCGGAUUCACUGGGUUUAAAGGGUGCGUAGGAGGGCAGGUAAGUCAGUGGUGAAAUCCCCGAGCUUAACUUGGGAACUGCCGUCGAUACUAUCUGUCUUGAAUACCGUGGAGGUGAGCGGGAUAUGUCAUGUAGCGGUGAAAUGCUUAGAUAUGACAUAGAACACCAAUUGCGAAGGCAGCUCGCUACACGAAUAUUGACUCUGAGGCACGAAAGCGUGGGGAUCAAACAGG